GAUUUCUGCCCAGUGCUCUGAAUGUCAAAGUGAAGAAAUUCAAUGAAGAGCAGGUAAACAGCAGGAGUAACUAUGACUCUCUUAAGGUAGCCAAAUGCCUAGUCAUCUAAUUAGUGACAUGCAUGAAUGGAU
rnacentral:ncRNA from 1 species